GCUCUGGUGGUGCAGUGGGUUAGCAUGUGGUACUUGUACUGCUAAGGUUGUGAGUUCAAGCCUCACCUAGAGCA